rnacentral:rRNA from 1 species
UACGAGUGCCUCAAGCGUUAUCCGGAAUCAUUGGGCGUAAAGGAUGUGUAGGUGGUUGUGUUAGUCUCUUGUUAAAUUCUUCGGCUUAACCGGGGGCAUGCAAGGGAAACGGCACGACUCGAGGAUGCGAGGGGUCUGCGGAACUCAUAGUGUAGCGGUGAAAUGCGUUGAUAUUAGUGGGAACACCAAAAGCGAAGGCAGCAGACUGGAGCACUCCUGACACUGAAACAUGAAAGCGUGGGUCGCGAAUGGG